CGUGAAAUUGUUGAAAGGGAAACGAUUGAAGUCAGUCGUACCGACGAGAAAUCAACUUAUCGUGUGCGAACUUGUGGGCCUGCGUGAGUUUCGGCCUCGCUGUUUUGCAUGUUUGUGCGUUUUGGGUGUACUUUUUCGUAUGGUAGGCCAACGUCAGUUUCGAUCAUCAUAACAUGACCGGCGGAAUGUAGCUUCGAUCUCGGUUGAAGUAUUAUAGCCUCUGGUAGAUGUGGUGAUCGGGACUGAGGAUU
rnacentral:rRNA from 1 species